rnacentral:rRNA from 1 species
CAACUUUCAGCAACGGAUCUCUUGGCUCUCGCAUCGAUGAAGAACGCAGCGAAAUGCGAUAAGUAAUGUGAAUUGCAGAAUUCAGUGAAUCAUCGAAUCUUUGAACGCACCUUGCGCUCCCCGGUAUUCCGAGGAGCAUGCCUGUUUGAGUGUCGUGA